rnacentral:misc_RNA from 1 species
CCUUAAAGAACCUGCCUUUGUAGUGCUCACACAGAUUGUCUGAUGAAAGUAAAGAAGCAAGGCGUCUUGCGAUUGAGACUUCAGUGUCCCCUUCGUCUAGAGGCCCAGGACACCGCCCUUUCACGGCGGUAACAGGGGUUCGAAUCCCCUAGGGGACGCCACUUGCUGGUUCGUGAGUGAAAGACGCGUGCCGAUGUAUCUCAAAACUCAUCUUCGGGUGAUGUUUGAGAUAUUUGCUCUUUAAAAAUCUGGAUCAAGCUGAAAAUUGAAACGACACACUGUUUAAGUGUGUUCGAGUCUCUCAAAUUUUCGCAGUCUGAAGACAUCUUCGGGUUGUGA